rnacentral:rRNA from 1 species
UAAUCAGAUUGAGGCAUUGAGCCCCAGUGAAUUCUCUCUGUCAUGGGCGAUUAUCCGAAAGUCAGCCGCCCACCAAAGUGAAGGUCCCCACUGGCUUUUAGGGACGCGAAAAGGCGAUGGACCCGCACACUUAAAAACUUUCUUUCUUUAGUUAAAGAGUGUUUGGACAAAUAGGGCGCGUUCCCAGGCUCCUAACGUCAAUAAGCUCUUUGUUCCGCGUCCAAAAAUAAAAACAAACCCGUUCGGUAGGUGACCUUGCGGAAGGAUCAUUA